rnacentral:lncRNA from 1 species
UGUCAGGUCUCCUAGAAGUAGACUUACAAGCAGCCGUGAGCCACCUAGCCUGAACCUCUGUCCUCUGGAAGCGCAGCGAGCACUCUGAAUUACUGAGCCAUCUUUCCAGCCCCAGAUGGUCUUUUAUCUCUUUGUUUUGUUUUGUUGUUAAGAGUUGUUUUGUUUUAGGAAUACAAUGAGAUGAUUCAACUUAACUUAGUGUUUCCUUGCUUUUAGUAAAAACUAAUUUUAAAAAGUUUUUAAAGCUGUAUAUUUUUCUUUUUGCGCUGGGAUGGAUUGGGCCUCAAGAGCCCUAGACAAAUGCUCUACUUCAUACCAGCAAAUGUUAGGCAAGUCUCUCCUGUGAGCCACACCCCAGCCCUGAAUAGUUGCUUCCUGAAGUUUCAUUAUUCAGUGUAGGUAUUUGACCAUUUGGAUUCCUUUCUCUUUGGGUCCAGCGAGGACAUCAGGGCCAGGCCAUCUGCCUGCCCACUGGCUUCCUAGAGUCACCAUGAUCCUGUUUUAGGUUAUCUUGGGUUUUAGCAUUUAUUUAGCUCUCAAGGUUUUUUUGGAAAGGGAAAUUUUAUUUUUCCACUCCUCAGAUAGUGGCGGGAAGCAAACACCAUCUCCCAACAAUUCCUAGUUGAGGCGCCCAUCCUCCUCACCCUCGUCAGUAUUCCUAGCAGUAACCUUCCUUCCAGUCAUUGGGUGUAAACCAACGAGGAAGCAGUAAAGACUCCUCUCCUGGUGUCCAGUCAGUGCUUCCCCUGGAUGCUUGGCAGCCUAGAUCAAGUGAUGGGGCAUGUUCAUUUUGGGGGACAUCCCCAUUAUGUCCUUGCAUUUCCUGUGUAGGUGUGACGUGUGGUUUUUGAGUAUCUUGGCUCCAGAGAAUGUCACUGCCGUUGGCUGUUGUUAGCUUUGUCCAGGAAGUGGCAAAGGAAGAAAGGAAGGGGGAGGAAAAGGAGAAGUGGUUGGGAGAGCCUAGGCUGGGAGAGCAGAGGUCACCCUUUCAAGUAUAGCUGAGGAAGCAAACUCGGGCUGGGAUCUGAGUCUGUCAGGUGUUUGGUCCCCAAUACUAUAAGAUAAUUUUUUUUCAAGACAGGGUUUUUCUGUGUAGCCCUGGCUAUUAUGGAAUUCGUCCUGUAGAACAGGCUGGCCUUAAACUCACAGGGAUCCACCUGCCUCUGCUUCCUCAGUGCUGGGAUCAAAAACUUGAGCUACCAUUGCCCAGCUUAAUUUUAGACAGCCUUUAAGGAGAAAAUAGAUUCAGAGGUUUGAGACUGCAGUUAGAGUGCUUGCUUAACAUCAUACAUAACCGGAUUUCUUUUUCCCCCCCCAGCGGCCACCAUC